rnacentral:rRNA from 1 species
ACGGAAGGCAGCAGUGGGGAAUAUUGGGCAAUGGGCGAAAGCCUGACCCAGCAACGCCGCGUGAAGGAAGAAGGUCUUCGGGUUGUAAACUUCUUUUAUGAGGGAUGAAGGAAUUGACGGUACCUCAUGAGUAAGCCACGGCUAACUACGUGCCAGCAGCCGCGGUAAUACGUAGGUGGCAAGCGUUAUCCGGAUUUACUGGGUGUAAAGGGCGCGUAGGCGGGGAAGCAAGUCAGAUGUGAAAUCCAUGGGCUCAACUCAUGAACUGCAUUUGAAACUGUUUUUCUUGAGUGUCGGAGAGGUAGAUGGAAUUCCUAGUGUAGCGGUGAAAUGCGUAGAUAUUAGGAAGAACACCAGUGGCGAAGGCGAUCUACUGGACGAUAACUGACGCUGAGGCGCGAAAGCGUGGGGAGCAAACAGGAUUAGAUACCCUGGUA